UACGUAGGGAGCAAGCGUUGUCCGGAAUCAUUGGGCGUAAAGCGCGCGUAGGCGGCCCUGUAAGUCCGCUGUGAAAGUCAAAGGCUCAACCUUUGAAAGCCGGUGGAUACUGCAGGGCUAGAGUCCGGAAGAGGCGAGUGGAAUUCCUGGUGUAGCGGUGGAAUGCGCAGAUAUCAGGAGGAACACCAAUAGCGAAGGCAGCUCGGUGGGACGGUACUGACGCUAAGGCGCGAAAGCGUGGGGAGCGAACAGG
rnacentral:rRNA from 1 species